rnacentral:rRNA from 1 species
CGGAGGAAAAGAAACCAACAGGGAUUGCCCUAGUAACGGCGAGUGAAGCGGCAACAGCUCAAAUUUGAAAUCUGGCCCUUGGGUCCGAAUUGUAAUUUGUAGAGGAUGCUUUUGGUGCGGUGCCUUCCGAGUUCCCUGGAACGGGACGCCAUAGAGGGUGAGAGCCCCGUCUGGUUGGACGCCAAUCCUCUGUAAAGCUCCUUCGACGAGUCGAGUAGUUUGGGAAUGCUGCUCUAAAUGGGAGGUAUAUGUCUUCUAAAGCUAAAUACCGGCCAGAGACCGAUAGCGCACAAGUAGAGUGAUCGAAAGAUGAAAAGCACUUUGAAAAGAGGGUUAAAUAGUACGUGAAAUUGUUGAAAGGGAAGCGCUUGUGACCAGACUUGAGCCCGGUUAAUCAUCCAGCCUUCUGGCUGGUGCACUUGGCCGGCUCAGGCCAGCAUCAGUUCGGCGCGGGGGAUAAAGACUUCGGGAAUGUGGCUCCCCCGGGAGUGUUAUAGCCCGUUGUGCAAUACCCUGUGCUGGACUGAGGUUCGCGCAUCUGCAAGGAUGCUGGCGUAAUGGUCAUCAGCGACCCGUCUUGAAACACGGACCAAGGAGUCGUCUUCGUAUGCGAGUGUUCGGGUGUCAAACCCCUACGCGUAAUGAAAGUGAACGCAGGUGAGAGCUUCGGCGCAUCAUCGACCGAUCCUGAUGUUCUCGGAUGGAUUUGAGUAAGAGCAUACGGAGCCGGACCCGAAAGAAGGUGAACUAUGCCUGUAUAGGGUGAAGCCAGAGGAAACUCUGGUGGAGGCUCGCAGCGGUUCUGACGUGCAAAUCGAUCGUCAAAUAUGGGCAUGGGGGCGAAAGACUAAUCGAACCUUCUAGUAGC